UUAUAAAAAAUAAGUAGAUGAGUAAGUCGGAUAUUGUGUUUAGAGAGUCGUUGGUAGGUGAGAAACGAUGACAAUUACUGACUGAAGAUGGUCUAAUUUAAAUUUCGUUAGUUGAGCUGAAUUGUAAGGCUACCGCGGGAACUCCCGUUAUAGAGUUAAGGUAUAAUUUUAAUUGUACCUGAUGAGGAAUAAUUCGUGAGGAUUGUUCGAAAAAAGGUGGUACCGCGGAAAAAGAACACACUUCCGUCCUGAAU
rnacentral:ncRNA from 1 species